UACGGAGGCGGCAAGCGUUAUCCGGAAUUAUUGGGCGUAAAGCGUCCGCAGGUGGCACUUCAAGUCUGUCGUCAAAUACCAGGGCUCAACCUUGGACAGGCAGUGGAGUACUCAUUUACUAGAGCGUGGUAGAGGUAGAGGGAAUUCCCCGUGGAGCGGUGAAAUGCGUAGAGAUGGGGAAGAACACCGGUGGCGAAAGCGCUCUACUGGGCCAAGGCUGACACUGAGGGAUGAAAGCUGGGGGAGCAAAUAGG
rnacentral:rRNA from 1 species